CAAUUUGUUAAUUUGGUGGAUCUUCUUACAAACGACUGCCGACGAAUGUCCCAGUUUGGGGGGGGGGGAGAGUAGCGCGGUAGUUCAGACUGGAAGUCUGUGUGGCUCACCACUCAAUUACAUGACCCAGUUUACGCUGCCAGAAAUCUGGUGAUCUGAGAGAAAACAUCUAAUUACAGAAACUUCCAAUGGAACUUUCUAGGAUGCCUCCCCUUGCUUGAAAUCACAGGGGUGACUGUAUUGCAUUUGCCACAAAUAUUUGGAUAAUAUGACAGCCCUUUGAUGAAGCUGACUACGUGGGUGUGUUAACUAGAUGCAGCUGCGGUAUGACGAGAUGCAACCGUGAUGUCUGCGCGCUACUGGACGUCGAUAUUAUCGCCGUGUUCCCAUGUGUUGGGUUUUACAAAGAAGAUGCCUGGCAUUACCGGGUCUUUAUUGACUGAUCCGGGCCAGAAAAGAUAACCAGAGACCAUCUCGGGAUAUUAAUCUCCUUCUGGGGAGCAAUAUCUUUGUGCCAUCACUCAUAAGCACCUGGAAGAGAUGUGUUGCAAAUUAUUUCCAUUCACCAUGAUGGUGAGAGAAAGAGACAGCUAACCAAAUAAACAAACGAGGCCAAAAGAUGCCGAUACUAAGGCAGUGAUAGAUGUACCUGAUGUAUACUGCCUCCAACUUAU